AUGCUGACUUUGGCAGCACAUAGACUACAACUGGAAUGAUACAGAGAAGACUGGGAUGAUCCCUGUGCAAGGAUGACACACAAAUUCAUGAAGUGUUUUUUUUAAUA
ensembl:snRNA U6 U6 spliceosomal RNA